rnacentral:rRNA from 1 species
UACGUAGGGGGCUAGCGUUGUCCGGAAUCAUUGGGCGUAAAGCGCGCGUAGGCGGCCAGAUAAGUCCGGUGUGAAAGUCACAGGCUCAACCUGUGAAUGCCGCUGGAAACUGUCUGGCUAGAGUCCGGAAGGGGCGAGUGGAAUUCCAGGUGUAGCGGUGAAAUGCGUAGAGAUCUGGAGGAACACCGAUGGCGAAGGCAGCCUUCUGGGCCAACACUGACGCUCAUGCACGAAAGCGUGGGGAGCAAACAGG